CUCCCACAUCUAGUCCCACUCCUUGAUCAGAAUCCUAACCCUAAUUUACGUCUUUAUUGGCCGUUGCCCCCUCACCACUUUGUCUCAUAUUCUAUGUUAGGGUUAAUAGAGAAUACAUGAUUGUUGUUUUUUAAUCUUGGCAAAUAUGCUGGAUAUGUAUGCUACCGAAUUUGUUGGUUGCGGCUAUUUAAAUGAUCUGUGGUUGUUUAAUUUGUC
rnacentral:lncRNA from 1 species